UACGUAGGGCGCAAGCGUUGUCCGGAAUUAUUGGGCGUAAAGAGCUCGUAGGCGGCUUGUCACGUCGGGUGUGAAAGCCCGGGGCUUAACCCCGGGUCUGCAUUCGAUACGGGCAGGCUAGAGUGUGGUAGGGGAGAUCGGAAUUCCUGGUGUAGCGGUGAAAUGCGCAGAUAUCAGGAGGAACACCGGUGGCGAAGGCGGAUCUCUGGGCCAUUACUGACGCUGAGGAGCGAAAGCGUGGGGAGCAAACAGG
rnacentral:rRNA from 1 species